GAAGCGCCUGGUACAGUGCUCUGCCCAAAAAACCGCCCUCUCAGAAGUCACCAGUGAUGCCCCUCCUUGCCAAAUCCAUCGGGCCUCCACUCCGUCCUAAUCCCCCCGACUCCUCGGCUGCCUCGGACACCGUCGACCACCCCCUUCUCCUGGAAACGUGUUGCAACCUUUUUUUUAUGAUUCUGAAUCCCAUGUGGGGCAGCGACUGUACCU